GACGUAGGAUGCAAGCGUUGUCCGGAAUUAUUGGGCGUAAAGAGUUCGUAGGCGGUGGUCUAAGUCUGAUGUUAAAUACUGGUGCUCAACGCCAGCAUGGCAUUGGAAACUGGGCUGCUAGAGUGCGGUAGAGGUCAGGGGAAUUCCAGGUGUAGCGGUGAAAUGCGUAGAUAUCUGGAGGAACACCGGUGGCGAAAGCGCCUGACUGGGCCGUAACUGACGCUGAGGAACGAAAGCCAGGGUAGCAAAAGGG
rnacentral:rRNA from 1 species